AAGAACUUGCAGACAUUUUCACCGGGCCGAUAACAGGAAGGGGCUUAUUGAAGUAGAGACCCGCCAACAAAAGGAGUGGGCACAUCACCACGGCAACAAAUGGAUCCAUCAAGAGCCACUGCUAUUAUCUCUGAGGGGGGAAAACUCUUGAGGCAACAAGGAUUCAUCUCAAAUAAAUAAAUAAAUAAGCUGCAUUUGAUGGGAAAGGGAAUCCCCUCCCCCUGCCCCAGUGUCAAAGGGCAUAAUGCAAGUUUCUGUUCACAUUAACCUUACUAGGCUGAGAAAUUGUCACUACAAUAGGACAGGACAGGACACACUUUUGAAGCUUUGGAAGGCAGUAAGAUUAAAGAUAGCCGCCUUGACUAGACUAAACUCGCUUGUCUCCCUUAGGCUUCCCCAGCCCGGGAUGCUCAGACCCGCCUCCCUUGCCAGGACAGAAAGUGCCCACGCCCACAGGGGGCGACCUCAAUGAGAUGGAAAAGCUGAGUGCUGGGAGCAGGCCUUGGCGACGUGACCAUACAGCCAUGUGCUGGCCAAAUGUUUAAGUAAAUAAAUAUAAAAUUAUAAUAAAUCUUAUCACUUUCACGGCAAUCACUUUAGAGAGUUAAUUAUAUACAAGUGAUAAAUGCCCAAAUAGAAGAAUGGCUUAUUUUACAACAUAUUUGCUUUCUUAGCUUUAAAGUGUUAAUAUUUUAUCCACUGGAUAAGUCAACACAUGCUUGAUGUUCUCCUGUAUGGAGAGCAGGGAUAAGCAGAAAUGAGGUUUCUCAUUUGCUGAACUUUAAACCCAACUGAACCUACUUUCAAAAUUAAUUUCCUGUUCAUAUAGCCAUAAGCCUAUAGAAAUGUAAAUGAGAUGUUUUGAUAAUCAGCUAAUCAGGACUUAAUUUACUACAGGAAUAAAUGCACUUCACUAUCCCUUUUAUAUUUUCUCCACUAAUACAUUUUAAUUGUGUGAAAAUACAGUACUUCAUAGGAUUAACAUGUCUAUUAAUAGAAGUUUAAUCACUGAAGAAAAGCAUUAUGCCUACAGAAUGUGCAUCUUCUGUGUUUUUUGUUUUUUAAAUGGCUAGAUAGCUGAAUAGCAUACCAUUUAUAGGCACAGCAAAUUUUCUGAUAGCAGCUGCUCAGUUUAAUUUCUUUUGAAGGGAAAUAUAUCCUAACAAGACCCAUAGAUGUUAGAAAGUUUUAAGGAAAAGCUGAUAGACACCAAUUUUUCAAUUUAGACUCAAAAACGAGACCAUUACAAAGAGCAGUCAACAGCAGGGGGAUGAAACAAAUGUGUUUUAAACACUUUGUUGUAAUGCCUUCCAAUUUUCAAAGAUCACAAACAAAAGCAGCCUAUUAUAAACAUAGUUCCUGUUGAUUCUCUGCUCUUACAAGAAAAAGCACUACUUAGAAUCGGUUUUCUCCCUGUAGCCAGGUGCUGCCACCAAUGCUCCUAGGCUCACAUCUAAGAAAAACUACACAUUUCCCUACAUGUUCUCUGACGUUGUAACUAGAACCAGAGCCCCAGGCACCUUAGUUGCAGAUUUUGAGAAAAUUUCAGCUGUCAUCGUGGCAGGCCUAGUGUUGAUGAUCACAAUUUUUCUUUCCUAUCUUAAGUGAUCACUUUAGCUUCUACAACUUCCAAAAAGACUUCCAUUCAUUUCAAAUUAAUUAUCUGCCAUCAUACUGUUUGCUAAGAUGGUACCAGCAGUAUUACCAUGACCACUUGAUUUACAUUAUCACCAAAGUGGACAUGUCACCAAAAGCCAUCUUGUCAGCUACUGACAAUCACUAGUCCCUUCUUAGCCACAAAUUUCCAUGCUUCAGUUGCAAAUAAACACUAGGCAAUUCUGAAUUAUCUAGAGUAAGGGGUAAAGGUAAUAAAAACAAAGUCUUGCCAUCCCAUGCCAUGAUCUUGAUGGGCCUCUGCUGUUCAAUAUAAUCAAGAGGUGUCCUUUCAUAUUUUCCUACAUGCCACCUGCAAAGACAUUUUUGCUGUCAAGUGGGCACUUCGAGAGUCUGCUGGAAAUACCUCUCUGGCUCAUCCUCCCUCCCAGCCUCAGGGCCCUUCCCCUCAUCCUCAUUAAGCCUGGUGUCGCACGCCCACAGGAGCGUGCCGUUUGUGAAGAGCACCCUCCUAGUUAACUGAAGGUCCCACAGAAUGCCCCGGGAGAGGCCCCAGUGAUGCUUCUCGGACUGCUCGAGAGGUAUGAGUUUCCUAACUCAUCAGACCCACUCCUAGUGGAGGAGACAGGAACACACGGCUCUGAAACCUUUCUGUGUGGCUGGCUGUCAUCAUGGUUUCUGUAACUGACACAGACAAAAGGGACGAAAAGACCAGCAAAAGCAAAUACACCAUGUGUGAGUCAGGUUGAAGUUAUAAGCUCUCAGUAGUCUACUCCAAAGACCAGACGUGUGUCCCUUAAAAAUGGACUGGACCUGGUAGACAGCUUUAAGAAAGCCGUGAAAGUUUUUUACUGUACCAUGUUGUUCUGGCAGCGAGCUUGUAAACUAUUUGCCAAAAACCACCAGAAAAAUAAUUUCAAUCAAGCAGAAUAUAACAAUAACACACUAAGACCUAUCAAUUAAUGAUGGGAAAUAUGAAUUGUUACACUACAGCUAGACAGAAGUGUAAUUUUAUGCCUAUUUCAGCUCUCUGUACAAAGUAACCUUUGUUAAAAAUCUAACAUUUCUUAAAAUGUAAACUUUAUGGGAGCAAAUGAAGUAUUGGAAAAUGGUUAGAAAAGUUCACCAUAACCUUACACACUCACAUGUCCUCAACUGUAAUGUCCUUGAGGAUUUGGCAGUAGUCCACAUUCCAUACAGCCUGAUCGUCCCAAACCUUGGAGGCAAGAAGAAUGGCUCCCAAAACAAUUCUUUUCCAGUUAGUGGGACAAAUGUCGAUCUCAGCAUAAGUUAAAAGCCUUUCUAAGUAAACCUGCAAAAGUAGAGCACUGAUCUUUGAUUUUAGUUCAGUUUAAGUGCUGUGAUAAGAACUGUUAGGAAUGACAAAUUUCAUCUGGUUUUGACAUGCCUUUUAUUCUUAGGUUCUACAGAGACUGCUCGACCAGCCAAGGCCAGAGGCCAGGUCACAGUUGACCAGUCCUUUUGUGGCAGGAACUUGAAGAUAAAAUCUGGGUCAAGAGAGCCUCCCAGUGGCUGCUGUGUGGCACAGCAAUACAGGCAGUACAAAGGGACUUCACAAGCAUCAAGUACUCCCUAUUUUAGUGCCUUUUUAAGGAACACACAUGCUUACAAAAAAAAGAUAGUCCUUCUCAUAUCCUGUAUUUUUCAUAUCUCCACUAUCAUUUCAUAAUUCAUUUCUGUCUUACAUAAUCUGUAGCUUUAUCAACUCUGUUGGUCUUAAGGUGGUAAGAGCCACCCAUGUUUGUAUCCCUGGGGCUCCUCUAAACCUGCCAGGCAGUUUGUGAGAAAAAUUUCAUGCUUUCUUGUACAUGUAUCAAAUGUCUAUUCUACAAAGAACUGGGUAAAGUUAAUAGCCGAUUUGUUGUUACCUCAAAGAGUGCACUGUGGAAGAGUAUAUACGCCAUUUGACAAAAUGAAAAAUGUCCAGUUUUAAA